UCAACCAANGUAUGCUUUGGAAACUGUUAGACUUGAGUGCAGAAGGGGAGAGUGGAAUUCCAUGNGUAGCGGUGAAAUGCGUAGAUAUAUGGAGGAACACCGGUGGCGAAAGCGGCUCUCUGNUCUGUCACUGACGCUGAGGCUCGAAAGCGUGGGUAGCGAACAGGAUUAGAUACCNUGGUAGUCCACGCCGUAAACGCUGAGUGCUAGGUGUUAGGUCCUUUCCGGGACUUAGUGCCGACGCUAACGCAUUAAGCACUCCGCCUGGGGAGUACGACCGCAAGGUUGAAACUCAAAGGAAUUGACGGGGGCCCGCACAAGCGGUGGAGCAUGUGGUUUAAUUCGAAGCAACGCGAAGAACCUUACCAGGUCUUGACAUCCCGAUGCCCGCUCUAGAGAUAGAGUUUUUCUUCGGAACAUCGGAGACAGGUGGUGCAUGGUUGUCGUCAGCUCGUGUCGUGAGAUGUUGGGUUAAGUCCCGCAACGAGCGCAACCCUUAUUGUUAGUUGCCAUCAUUAAGUUGGGCACUCUAGCGAGACUGCCGGUAAUAAACCGGAGGAAGGUGGGGAUGACGUCAAAUCAUCAUGCCCCUUAUGACCUGGGCUACACACGUGCUACAAUGGUUGGUACAACGAGUCGCAAGCCGGUGACGGCAAGCUAAUCUCUGAAAGCCAAUCUCAGUUCGGAUUGUAGGCUGCAACUCGCCUACAUGAAGUCGGAAUCGCUAGUAAUCGCGGAUCAGCACGCCGCGGUGAAUACGUUCCCGGGCCUUGUAC
rnacentral:rRNA from 1 species